AUCCAGAUCUCCAUCCGCUCUCAGCAGCAUGGACCUGUCUCUAAGCUAUGGAGAUGGGAGAGGUCACUGGCCAUUCUUGUUGGUGUCUCCCCUGGAGACUUAAAUGGUGUUUGCUAUCUGGGCCAACCCUGAGAACUGAGCUGGGGACCCUGGGAGCUGAAAACCUGAUAUAUGGACUCUGAGGGCUGUAACAGACUCAUGACCUUCAUGGCUGGACUCCAAGGAAGAUUCAGAAGACACGGGAGCAGAAUAAAUAUAUAGUUGUUCUGGUGCUGAAGAAAUCCUGUGACCUGAGUGUAAGCACCCAGCAGAAUCACUGCCACACUUGGAACAUCUACAUGCCCUAAUCAUCUCUUACAGCAUGCUUGGCCAAACUCCCCGGUGGUGUAAGCUGAUGCCGUCCCAUCGGAGCGGAUGGAGCCGUGCCAGCCGAGGCCAGCGCAGGAUUUGGCCGCGUGUCCCUGCCUGGAAUCUUCUAGGUCCUGAGUCACACCGGGCUGCGGCGCUGCUCGUCUUCCAGCCUGCAGGCUCGAAAAUCUUGGCAAGGUGGACGGAGGAGUUAUCACAGGCUGGCUGAUAGCACGGACACCCCUUGCUGGAUGCUUUCAUGGUGGAGGACAUCUUUGUUCAUCUGAGGCUCUGAGUGCACUGGGAGCUGUACGGUGCUGGGAGAUGGGGGACACCUCUGCUUUGUGUCUCCUCCCCUAGAGUCGGCCAUCUCCAUGUGAAUGAAGACAGUCCAGAUCAGCCAGUGAUUGUACAUGGAAGCAGCAAAUCCUCUUCUGUGCCAGCAUCCAGUGAGAUCUGGUUCUCUUAUCCAGAUUUCAUCAAUCCCUCUGAGUGUCCCCUGACACCUCACGCUGAUCCCCCCCAACCCCACUUCUUCCCACCCCUGCCCCUCCCCCUCCCCUUAAUGAAUCCCCCCCAUUAUAUAAUUGUGCUCAAAAAAAUAAAGGAAAUAAAGCACGAAUGUCUCUGACAGGCUUGAGCAAAAUAAAUAGAUGCAGCCCAAACCAAACCUUCCACGCUUCUGCAAGCUCCUUUGUUCAGGAAGGCUCCCUCCCUCUCAGGGAUCCAGUCCAUGGUCUCUGUUAAGCGCUUUGUUCCCUUGCUCUG